rnacentral:rRNA from 1 species
AUACCAAGGCGCUUGAGAGAACUCGGGUGAAGGAACUAGGCAAAAUGGUGCCGUAACUUCGGGAGAAGGCACGCUGGUGUGUAGGUGAAGUCCCUGCGGAUGGAGCUGAGACCAGUCGAAGAUACCAGCUGGCUGCAACUGUUUAUUAAAAACACAGCACUGUGCAAACACGAAAGUGGACGUAUACGGUGUGACGCCUGCCCGGUGCCGGAAGGUUAAUUGAUGGGGUUAUCCGUAAGGAGAAGCUCUUGAUCGAAGCCCCGGUAAACGGCGGCCGUAACUAUAACGGUCCUAAGGUAGCGAAAUUCCUUGUCGGGUAAGUUCCGACCUGCACGAAUGGCGUAAUGAUGGCCAGGCUGUCUCCACCCGAGACUCAGUGAAAUUGAACUCGCUGUGAAGAUGCAGUGUACCCGCGGCAAGACGGAAAGACCCCGUGAACCUUUACUAUAGCUUGACACUGAACAUUGAGCCUUGAUGUGUAGGAUAGGUGGGAGGCUUUGAAGCGUGGACGCCAGUCUGCGUGGAGCCAACCUUGAAAUACCACCCUUUAAUGUUUGAUGUUCUAACGUUGGCCCCUGACCGGGGUUGCGGACAGUGUCUGGUGGGUAGUUUGACUGGGGCGGUCUCCUCCCAAAGCGUAACGGAGGAGCACGAAGGUUAGCUAAUCCUGGUCGGACAUCAGGAGGUUAGUGCAAUGGCAUAAGCUAGCUUGACUGCGAGCGUGACGGCGCGAGCAGGUGCGAAAGCAGGUCAUAGUGAUCCGGUGGUUCUGAAUGGAAGGGCCAUCGCUCAACGGAUAAAAGGUACUCCGGGGAUAACAGGCUGAUACCGCCCAAGAGUUCAUAUCGACGGCGGUGUUUGGCACCUCGAUGUCGGCUCAUCACAUCCUGGGGCUGAAGUAGGUCCCAAGGGUAUGGCUGUUCGCCAUUUAAAGUGGUACGCGAGCUGGGUUUAGAACGUCGUGAGACAGUUCGGUCCCUAUCUGCCGUGGGCGCUGGAGAAUUGAGGGGGGCUGCUCCUAGUACGAGAGGACCGGAGUGGACGCAUCACUGGUGUUCGGGUUGUCAUGCCAAUGGCACUGCCCGGUAGCUAAAUGCGGAAGAGAUAAGUGCUGAAAGCAUCUAAGCACGAAACUUGCCCCGAGAUGAGUUCUCCCUGAGACUUUAAGUCUCCUGAAGGAACGUUGAAGACGACGACGUUGAUAGGCCGGGUGUGUAAGCGCAGCGAUGCGUUGAGCUAACCGGUACUAAUGAACCGUGAGGCUUAACCUU